rnacentral:rRNA from 1 species
CGACGGGUGAGUAACGCGUAUGCAACUUGCCUAUCAGAGGGGGAUAACCCGGCGAAAGUCGGACUAAUACCGCAUGAAGCAGGGAUCCCGCAUGGGAAUAUUUGCUAAAGAUUCAUCGCUGAUAGAUAGGCAUGCGUUCCAUUAGGCAGUUGGCGGGGUAACGGCCCACCAAACCGACGAUGGAUAGGGGUUCUGAGAGGAAGGUCCCCCACAUUGGUACUGAGACACAGACCAA